CCAAGUGAUUAGAACAACUCCCACUAUUGUUCGCUCCUCGCAGUUCAUCCAUAGAUAGAACAUUCCCUGGCUCCACCAACAGUGCCAACGAUUUCCCAGCAAGGCAUAUGGGCACCUUCGCAUAUGGGCACCUUCGUAUCUAUUUCUGUUUCACUAUUUCAAUUUGAGACCAAUUGCGUUAAUUAGUGGGUUAAAUGUGAUUGGACCAUCAAAAUGGGGCUUGGGCGUGGAACAUUCAACGCCAAACAGCCAAAAUUCAAAAAAACGCCCCGGGGGCCGACUUCGGUCAUGUUUGGGCGUGCUUCAUCACAAAAACGGCCAGUUUCACAACGAGUACACAUGGUCUAAAGUUUGAAAGUGUAGUCUUUCUGCAAAGUAAGGAGGAUGUAAUUAUUCUUGGGUUGUUAACGGGUUAGGGGAUGUUUGGUUGAAGAUGGAAGGAACUAGGAUUUUAGUUUCUAUUUAUGAACUGAUGAGUGUUUAUGUAUUUCACUGAGCCCUGAGAACUAAUUAAAAUGUGAUGUAUCUCUGUUUUUAGUAGACCUAUAUCAUGUGUAGCUUUAUAAAGAUCGCUAUUGCUAGUACACAAAACUAAAAACUUCAUCAUAAAUUUGGUGGUUUGCUCUUUUUCACGGUUGCAUUAAGUGUUAAGAAUUACAUUAACAAUAUUCACUGGCAAGUUUUAUGAGGAUGAUAUAACAUAGAUGUGACAAUUUUAAUUCAUGUAUUUGGGCAUUAGGUUAAUUUGGGUUAAUUUUUAUCUCAAACGGGUCAACCAAACCUAACCCGCCCCUUGUGACCCAUACUUUAUAAUAACACUAGCCCUAAAGAAGCCUAAACCAUGUCAAAAAAUUACAUCGAGUCAACCAAUUAAACAAAACACUUACCAUACUUUUCCAAAAAAAAAACAAUGGAAAAAUACUGCUUGGUAUGAAUAAAAUUACAUCGAGCCACUCAAUUAAAACAACACACUACCAUAGUUUUGUAAAAAAAACACUAAAAUGACUUUUACAGUGGGGGCAAAAUCAUAAUUUGACAGGAAAAAACAAAAACAAUGGCAAAACUAUACAUUUGAGCUUAGGGCAAAAUCGUAAUUUGACUAGGGUAAGAAAAAACCAAAACCAAUGUCAAAAAUGUAAAUGAACAUGUAUUUAUAGGGGAGGUUUAGCCCAACACUCCCCCUAAACCCUAAGCCCAUUGUACCCCUAACCCAUUACAUACAAGCUCAUUCUCAUUAAUAUACAAACUAGCCCAAUCAUUAUGUAACAACUAAUGUAUAAACCUUAUUGGCCCAACAAAGUUCGAAAGCAUAUUCGUAGUUUAAACGGGCGAAAUCGUAAUUUGGCUGAGCAAUGGGAAAGUGUCAGGCUUGCCUGACACUGUUCCCCUUUUUGCCCCACUCGUGUUGCGGGACACUAAGCCGAAUAUUUCUCUUUAAUAAUAUGUGCGUAUGUGUUUUGGUUACUUAUACAUACUACUCAUAACACGAUCUAAAUAAAUUUUUAUUGAGUUAACCAAUUAAAACAAAACACUACCAUACUU
rnacentral:lncRNA from 1 species